GACAUAACACGUGAGUCAUAAUAAUUCCUUUAUAUACCUUUCAUUUUUUAAUUUAUUUAGAUUUAUAUUAAAUCUUUUUAAAAUUAAUUUAUUUAAGCACUAUAUAGGAUGAUAAUUCUUAUAAAUUAAUCAUGAUUACAGAUAUAAAAUAAAUGGGUUUUAUUUUUAUCAGACUCUUGAACAGAAAGAAAACAAUAAAAACAGUGACUGGCUUUUCCAACAGCUAUCAUCGUCGAAGUGAGGGGAGGUACUAGAGUGUUUUCCGCUGGCGACUAAUCUCGGCAGAGCAGCGGCGAUGGGUGAUGGAGAUGAGUGGGAAACGGGAUGGUGCGGUGGCGGAGGGGUUUCGCCAGUCGGAUUUGGCCGUUUUUCUGGCAUAGGGGUGGCUGCCAUGGGUUUUCGCCGAAAAUCGAACAAACUCCGUCCAGAUCAGGCCGUGUUGGUGGUUGUCGGCGGCGAUUUUGCCAUUAAUGUCAUCAACAAUGAUUAUGUUAUUUUUUCGGCGAAAUUUCGCCGGGAAAUCAAAACAAUAAACAAUUGUUUUCUACUUAUUUCUUACUGUUUUCUAUCUUGCUUCAUUUUUAUUCUACUGAUUUUUAAUUAAUUUCUAAGUUAUGUAUGGUUCUGUAUGUAUAGUGUAUGAUUGAACUGUGAUUAUUUUAAUCAGCAUGAUGUGAC
rnacentral:lncRNA from 1 species